rnacentral:rRNA from 1 species
GCCCAGACUCCUACGGGAGGCAGCAGUGGGGAAUAUUGCACAAUGGGGGAAACCCUGAUGCAGCGACGCCGCGUGAGCGAUGAAGUAUUUCGGUAUGUAAAGCUCUAUCAGCAGGGAAGAAAAUGACGGUACCUGACUAAGAAGCCCCGGCUAACUACGUGCCAGCAGCCGCGGUAAUACGUGGGGGGCAAGCGUUAUCCGGAUUUACUGGGUGUAAAGGGGGCGCAGACGGCAGCGCAAGCCAGGAGUGAAAGCCCGGGGCCCAACCCCGGGACUGCUUUUGAAACUGUGUUGCUAGAUUGCAGGAGAGGUAAGUGGAAUUCCUAGUGUAGCGGUGAAGUGCGUAGAUAUUAGGAGGAACACCAGUGGCGAAGGCGGCUUACUGGACUGUAAAUGACGCUGAGGCUCGAAAGCGUGGGGAGCAAACAGGAUUAGAUACCCCAGUA